UGAGCCAGCCAAGUGCCCCUAAAUAACAUUUAUUUUUAAAAAUCAUAUUGGAUUCUAUAUGUUUUUAUGAGAUGCCUGUCAUCCUUAUUUGGAGUGAGGUCAGGUAUAUAAAGACAAACAGGUGUCAUUGAAUGGGAUUUGCAGAGGUUGGUUGCCUAGUUCCCUAGCGUUAUAGACCUAUAUCUCUGUGCUGGCCCUUCUGUAAGCUGUGGGUCUGAGCCUUAAAACUUUAUAAUCUACAUAAGGGAUAGUUAGAUUAUAACACAACUCUUUUAUCAUUCAGGAGUUAACUGUUGCAUUUGUUCUGAAGAAACUAUUAAAAAUCACAUAAGGUCUUUACAGCACUUGCUCAAUAGGCCCAAUCUUUGGUUCUGAGCUCAGUAAUUAUAUGUGUGUUGAAUUCUUGCUAAGAGAGCCAGGAUUUUAAUGCUUAUGUGGAAUGUUUAUCACAAUAAAUAAACAGAGGAGGCGAUUGACAAGGAAGUCCCAGACUUUGUCAAUUGGGAUUAAGGGUUCUGAAUUGGGAACCCCUAAAAUUCUAAAGGGGUUAAAAAUGGGCUUGGAAUUAUCCAUGGUUCAUAUAUAUUAUAUGCAUAAUUUUAUACUGUAAUGUAUAUGGAAAUUAUUUUCUGGAGACGGAGUCCUUUGUUUCAGUUGGUAUUCUCAAGGACGUCCAGUUAAGAUGGCCUAAAUGGUUUACAUCAGUUACAUCUACUUGUAACCUAAGUAUAUCACCAUUAAAAAUGAUAAAAAUAAAUGACUAGAAAAACUAAAUGCUCAAUGCUACAACAAUGUCACAGUGCUGUAUGUUUCUAAAUGCCUACUCCCAGUUUCUGUAACUGGCGGUUAAUCGGAUAUAUAAAUUGAAGGAGGAGGGAGUCAAGGAAUACUCUGAGAGUUCAAGCUUUGGCAGCUGGAUAGAUGGUGAUGAGAAGAUGUGGUAUGCAAAAGAAGCAAGUUUGGGUAGCAGAAUAAUGAAUUUAGUUGGGAUAUACUAUGUUCAAAGUAUCUGCAUGACACUCAUGUGGCUAUUACCACAGUUCUAGUAAUUUUUGCAUAUGUGCUAGAAACUCGGGCUGUAGAUGGAGAUACUGACCUAAAAGUCAUCAGUACUGAUCGAAGCUGUGGAAGCAGAUGAUAUUACAUUAGGAAAUGAUGUAAGGUGAGGAUAAAAGAAGAUUAAGGGUAGUACCCAUGGAAUAUCAGUAUUUAAGGAAUUGGCAGAGAAAGGAUCACCUGGAAAUGAAAUGGAGAAGUUCAGAGAAGUAGGAAGACACAUUUGGAAUAUUGCAGAAAUUAAAGAAUAGAGUUUCCAAAGAAGAAAUAUAAGAUUCUACGUAAAGGUCUGGUAAUAUAUCCAACAAGAGGCCAGGAUUUAGAUAUCGAUACAUUGAUAGCAGUUUUUGAGAAGUGUUAGGGGCAAGGAAGAAACCAAAUACAGGAAUUUGAGGAGUAAGUAGGAGGUGAGCAAAUGGGAUUGGGGUAAGAAAAACCCAAACCCUUUUCCAGAAAGUUGAGUGCUUUUGUACAAUGUAGGUAGAAAAAGGAAGAAAGAAAAUAUGAUGAUUUUCUUGAGGAAAGGCAAAGUUAUGCAAAGAAGAAGCAAAAGAAUAGAGGAAAAAAAAGAGAGCAAGGGCAUUUGACACCUCAUGUGGUGAACAGUGGAGGAGAGGGCGAGAAUCACAAGUACCUAGGUCAGCCUUGUAAAGUAAAUGGUGGUACUGGACCUCCAAGUUGGUUUAUAGAUGGCCACGUUUUCACCUGUUGAAUUAUUUAUUGGCUAUUACCGAUAUGAGUGUUAACUGAUUAGCUUGUGUCAUAUCAUCUUCACCUUUUCACUGAAAGCCAAAACUGAGAUGUAGUACGUGAAGGCAUUGUGGAAAGAGGCACCUGAUUGGGCAUUUGAGUUUUCAUGACACGAAUUUUUAACUCAUUAUGAGCCACUUAGGAAAAAUGGUUAUUUUCAAAACUAAAUUGAUUCACCACUGUCAUAGUUUAGAUGAAAAGCAGGUAUGGUUUGUUAUGGUGAGAUUUGGCAAGUUAAUCUUUGUGAUAAUACAUACUCUUUUAGUUUCAGAAAAUACUGUGCAAUUAUUUUGUACAUGACCAAUUUUCUGGGCACUUUUUAUUUUUGAUAACUUAUUUUCAUCCUCUAGAAUUCCAGUAGAAAUAAUUCUUCCUAUUUAAGAUACCUUAACAGCAACUGGUAGACAGUUCAGUCUAAUAUAUCCUCUAUAAGACAUUAAAAGUAAUCAAUGUGAGUACUAGGUAGAGACUAAUAGAAGAAGGAUAGAGUAGCUCACUGUUUCAAACCAUUUGCAUCAUUUUUGGCAUGUCUAUUGACAGCAGUCACAGAUGAGGCCAAAGAUGGAAUGGCUUGGAGCCUACACUGCUUUUAGGCUCUGGCUACAGCACAGUCUUUAAAUCAUGCUCCAAAGUACAGUUACCAACAGUGAAUUUAUACAUUAUAAAGAUGGGGGAGAACAGAAAAUGGCUUUCAAAAGACAGCUCCAACAUUAGAGACCUAGCCUGUGCUACCCCAGGAAGCCCUGAUUAGUAUCAUCCUGAGAAAGCUCUCUGCUGUGGGGAGCUGCCACCCUUGAUUUCACCUCAUUGCCUCCAGUUUCAACUUAGCUCAAGUAAACACAUCUCCUUUUACUGUGACUGUUCCUCAGAGAGCCAAAAUACUGCUUUAUUUAUUUAUUUUUUGUUGGGGCGGUGUACAGGGGUUUGGUGUAGACCUAAUAAGUCUAUUCUCCAAAGACCAUUUCUCUGUACUUCUGGUUUCUGUGUACUUCUAAACUCUGUAUUCUAAACCACAGAGGAAAAGAUAGUGAUGCACUGUGUUGGCACUGAAGAGAAACAUUGACCAGACAGAAAAUUUUACCCACAGUCAAACUGAGCUAUAAUGAUCGUGCUUUUUCUUUCUCCCAGGAAAGAGUAAUAUAAUUGGUCCCUGUAAUACAGUAACCAGUUUGUUCAUUCUUCGUUCAGUAGAUGUUUAUUUGGGAGAUACGUCUCACAGAAUAAACUGGCUUUGGGAUAAAGUCUGAGAAUAGAUUAAUUUCUAAAUCUUGAUAAAUGCAUCGAUAAAAGAAACACAGGAGGAAGAAACCAUAUGAUUAGGAGUACCUUAAAUAAGUACAUUUGUAUAUGAUAAUUUACAAAUAAUAAUUAUGUUGGAACAUGUCCUGGGUUGAUUUUCUCAAGGGCAUCUGUUUGAAAAAUGAACAUUUCUGAAUUAGAAUUUCUGUCAUGGAGUAGAAAUAAGAGUAAGAACAUGUUUUCGAAUAUGCAGUAAAAAGAUCACCCGCUCCUCUAAAGACCUGACACUGACAUUCAUCUUAGUACAUAAAAGAGAAAAUACGCUGAGGAUGGGAAAUGCGGGAGCUAUAACAACAGCUGGAGAGGUGACUGAUUCUAACGGAUUGCUCGUAUGUGACAUCAGUGCUCCAGUGAAUUUGGCGGGAAAGUAAUUCACAGAAUUAAGACAGCUGCAUUAGUGUUGUGUUCUCUUAUUAAAAAAUGUCAACAGCUCAUUGAAUACAGGAAAAUUUCAGGGAUUUUAUUUUGUAGCAAGCCAGCAUAGUAUCUGCAAAAGUAAUAUCAUGAAAAUGAUAUGCAUUAGGGAAUACGAGCAGCACAGGUUGGUACAUUAGUUUGAGUUAUUCAGCCAGUCCUUAAAAGGGUAAUAUCCCAUUUGAGUGGCAAGCAAAGGAAUUCAAAAGGAUAACAGUCAUUGUUUUUGUUGUUAUUGUCGUAGUUGCUUCUUUGUCAUUUUUUUUAUUAGCUAUAUUAAUCUAAGGCAGUUUUUUAAAACUUAUUUUGAAUAUCAUUUUAUACAAUUGCAAAUCUAGAUCCUUUUAUUCAUUCAUGGAUUUUAAAUGAUGUAUUCUGUAUGUCAGACAACCUGUGCAAAGAGGGAAAAAGAAGUAACCUGUACUUUAACUGGUAAGCCUGUUGUAAGGCAUCCUUACACGUUAAGAUGGAACAAUACAUAAACAGCAGUUAAUAAAAUUGCAAGAACUUGUAUUUAAAUUUAAUUUUUUCUGCAAGUGUAGUUAGUAUUAUUUUUUCCCCCCAGUGGUCUCUGAUAUACUGUUUUUGAGGGAGAAAAAAAAAAUGUUUUUGCUACCAUGGCAACAGUAUCCUUUUGCUUUCCAUCACAAACCAUAGUUUCUGAGUAUAACUAGGAAAUUGAAAUGUGGGUAGCUCGGAAUGAUAAGGCCAAGCAUGGUAAGCAUUCAUCUAAAUGAAUAUUUGUGUCAUUGUUCUUGCACUCGCGGUAAGAUUGGAACUUUCAAGGUCAACAUAUUUGUUCAUAGUUUUCACAGCGGCACUCAUAAAAGAUUAUUGCCACUUACUGGGCAACUACUCUUUUCACUAAAUGUCUUAUUAGCAUGAUUUUCCAAAGACGAUAGGAAAUUAAAACACUCCAUAGUACAGUUUAUUUUAUAGCGUUGAGGAAAUGUAAUACAAAGAAAGGGCACACAGUCUAGUGAGUUUUAGGAAAGAAAUGAUCUGCAACUUGACCUGAAGUAUGUGUUGGGGGAGGGAGCACAGCAAAGGCUUAGAGCGAAGCUGAUUGAGCUCAUUCUGUUAUUUGUUUCAGGGGUGAUUCUGAAAUGGUGCUUCUCUCUGUGAUGCCCUUGCAAUAACAAUAUUCUUUUUAUUUUCCUUGAUCUUUCACAGCCUGUGGAUAUUUCAGCUUGCAAGAAUAAGCAUGCUAAUUCAAUCAAGUAUAUUGAGCACCUUAUGAGCAUCUGCAGUGACUCUAAGGCUGUGGUGUUCAAAAUCAGUGAAGGUGCUGACUCUCAAAGAGGAGAAAGGCUCAUUUAUAUCACUUUGGUGGAGCAGACUUGCUUGAAUAAAUUUGGAAGCAGAUUCUUUGAGUCUCCUAAGAGCCCAGCCUGCCAACACCUUGAUUUCAGCCCCGGGAGACCUGGAGCAAAGAAGCCCCCUGGACUUGUGAUCUACACAACUUUAUGGAAAACAACAAUCAAUGCGGAAUAUCAGAAUGAUCUGACAGUCAUUGUACCACAAAGAGAGAAGAUGCUGGCUAAUCAAAGUUUAGUUCAUCGUUUUCUCUGGGACUUUGGUACGCAACUCAGUUAAACAUCCAGCCACAGGCAGAGAAGUCCAUUUUCCAUCUAUAUUCAAGUACCUUGAAUCACCAUGAGACUUACAAGAAAAUAGUCCUCAAGCAAAACUGCAUAACAAGCCACUUCACUUGUUGCAUCCUCUUGAAGAUUUCACGGGUGAUACAGUGGAUUGAUGUGAAGCAAAUUCUGAGACCACGAUGUCUACCCGAAGGAGGGUUCUCCAAGAAACUUUUGGGCAAAUUUGAAAAGACAUCUGGGGAUGUUUGAAGUUUGCCUCCUGGGGAAAAAAAAAACAUUCACUGUUCCUGGUUUUCAGUAAUGCUGCAAGAUAUUCUAAUAGGAACCAAAAGACACCCUCUUCCACAUCCACCAUGUCAGCCUAUUUUUGAUCAAGACAUUCCCAGGACUGAUCAGAAAGAAAAGUGAUAUUCCUGCCAUCCAAAUUCUGAGGGAUGCAUCUACCAUAACUUUGAGAUCUUAAGAAAAAGUAAAGAAGCUCUUUUAACAGCUCUUUUUGUGAACUCUGCAACCUGAGUCAAUUGUACAAAAAACAGCAACUUCUCGGAUACAGAAGAUCCCGCAACUCCAGUUGCUGCCGUUGUUUUCUGGCUUUGAUGUCAAGGGCAGGUAGAUGUUUUUGUCGCUUCAUUACCCACAGCACAGCUAUUUCUCAGGACACUUGGACAUUUCCUACGAGACACUUGACAUUGAAUUUAAGGCCUACCGGAUAACCCAGGAUAAUCUCCCCUCUCAAGAUCCUUAAAUGAAUUCAACCUGUCAAUACUCAUCUAUCCAAUAAGGUUUAACUGUGAUUCCUAACAAAAGCUUUGGGGAAACUUGAAGGAUAGGAAGAUACUUCUUUGAAAACCAUGAAAAGUGCCCUCACCAGACAUUGGAUCUACUGGCACCUUGAUCUUGGACUUCCCAGACUCCAAAACUAAAAUGGAGGCCUGCAUGUCAAAACUACAAGGAAGUAUAUCAGUAAGGGUUAUGAUCCUUUUGAGUGAACAUCUGUUUACCGUCCAAGUGGUAACAGAUCGUGCAGGCCGGGCCAAGAUUAAGGCUGGAGACCUUCUCAGCAAGAAGGAAGAACUGCUGAAACAGCUGGAAGACCUGAAAGUGGAGCUGUGGCGGGUAUGCCUGGGUGGCUAAGUCAGUUAAGCGUUGGCUCAGGUCAUGAUCUCGUGGUCCAUCAGUUUGAUUCCCCACUUUGACUUCCUGCUGUCAGUACAGAGCCCUCCUCAGAUCCUCUGUCUCCCUCUCCCUCUGCCCCUACUCCUCUCUCUCUCUCUCUCUCUCUCUCUCUCUCUUGUUCUCCUAAAAAUAAAAUAAACAUUAAAAAAGAAGAAAGCAGAGUUGAGCUGUCCCAGCUGUGUGUCACCAAAGUGACGGGUGCCAGGGCUUCCAAGUUCUCCAAGACCUGAGUUGUUUGCAAAUCCUUUGCCUGUGUUCUUACCAUCAUCAAGCAAACUCAGAAAGAGAAGCUCAGGAAAUUCUACAAGGGUAAAAAGUAAAAGCCUUCGGAUAUGUGGCCCAAGAAGACACAUGCCAUGGUCCACCAACUUAACAAGCACUAGGAGAACCUGAAGACCAAGAAGCAGCAGCAAGUAUGCAGUCAAGACAUGAGCAUCGACGUCAAUAAAGCACAAACUCAAAAGUAAAAUAAAAUAAAAAAAUAAAAAUGAGUUGCCCUUAUAUACGUCAAUCUGUUUCUUUAUUUUAUAUUCCAUUUAUCUGUUUAAUCUAUCUUUAUAAGAAUAUCACAUGGUCUUGAUUACAGUAGCUUUAUAAUGUGUUUUGAAACAGUAAUCCUGCAAAUUUGGUCUUAUUUUCAAGGUUGUUUUGAGUAGUCUCAGCAUUUCAAAUUUUCAUAUAAAUUUUAUUUAAGAAAAAUUUUAAUAUAAAUUUUAGAAUCAGCUUGUCAAUUUCUACAAAAAAAUGCUAUGAGAAUCCUUAUUGGAAUUGUAUUACAUCUACAGAUCAAUGUGGGAAGGACUGACAUCUUAAAUAUAUUGAGUCUUCCUACAUAUUAUGCAAUAUUGUCUCUCCACUUAUUCUUACGUAUUAUUUUGAUAUUUUUAAUUUAUUAUUGAAAUUUAAU